UACUCUAUUUCCCACCGCCCUUGAAAGCAGCACCGCCCCUCUCAGAGUGAGUCCGCCUCUGCGCUCCAACCGAGAGGCACCGACUGACUGACUGGCUGCGUGGGGAGCCGGUGUGGGCGAAGCGGAGGACUUUCCUAUAAAAGCAGGGAUCCCACGACCAGACGCGCUCUUCUCUCUCAGUGAACGGCAGACAGGAGCCGCUCUUCCCCGCGAACAGCUGUUUCAUUCCCCCUGUUACAGUUCGGAAAACCCUCCCAGCCUCAUCCAAAAGGAAAUCUUAGUCUAUGGUUCUGACUGACACGCCUACAAGGAUGUCCCGGACCGACGAGGUGCACCGUAUAACGGAGAAUGUCUACAAGUCCAUCAUGGAGCAGUUUAACCCGUGCUUACGGAACUUCAUAGCCAUGGCAAAAAGCUAUGAGAAGGCGCUCACCAGUGUCACAUAUGCUGCAAAGGGCUACUUCGACGCUCUGGUGCGGAUGGGCGAGAUGGCCAGCGAAAGUCAAGGCUCUAAGGAUCUUGGGGAUGUGCUCUUUCAGAUGGCUGAAGUGCACAGACAGAUCCAGAUCCAGCUUGAGGAGAUGCUGAAGUCGUUCCACAACGAGCUGCUCACAGAGCUGGAGAAGAAGGUCGAGCUGGACGCGCGAUACCUGAAUGCUGCACUGAAGAAGUACCAGAUGGAGCACAAGAGCAAAGGGGAGAGUUUGGAGAAGUGCCAGGCAGAGCUAAAGAAACUGCGCCGGAAGAGCCAGGGCAGCAAGCACCCGUCCAAAUAUGGGGACAAGGAGAUGCAGUAUGUGGAGGCCAUCAGUAAUAAGCAGAGUGAGUUGGAUAACUACAUCGCUGAGGGCUACAAGAACGCUCUGUCUGAGGAGAGGAGGAGGUACUGCUUCCUGGUGGACCGUCAGUGUGCCGUGGCCAAAAACAGCAGCGUCUACCACAACAAGGGGAAGGAGCUUUUAACUCAGAAGAUCCCACUGUGGCAGCAGGCUUGUGCCGAGCCCAACAAACUGCCAGACCGUGCCAUGUUUCUGGCCCAGCAGAUGAGCGGUGCAACGGGCACCAUGCCUCCUGGUGCUCAUCACCCAGGCCUGCCCAUCUCUGAGCCUAUUCCUGGUGCUAAACCCCUGCCAGUGCCUCCAGAGCUGGCAGCCCUCAGGGCCAGCGGUGGCAUGGGACAGCAGAGGCUGAUGGGAGGUGUGGAAGGAGGGAUGCCUGUGAUGAAUGGUACAGCCGGCGUUCAUGGAGGAGAAGACUACCAGCAGUGGAUGGAGGGCAAAAUCGCCCAGGGCAAAGCCUCACCGCAGACUCAGCGGCACGGAGGCGAGGUGUACUCCAACACCCUACCUGUGCGCAAGGCCGCGCCAGCCAAGAGCAAGACCACACUGACAGAGACCCGCACGCUGCCCCGGUCCAGCUCCAUGGCAGCAGGUCUGGAGAGAAACGGAAGAACUCGUGUCCAGGCCGUCUUCUCCCAUGCUGCCGGUGACAACAGCACGCUGCUCAGCUUCGCAGAGGGCGACGUGAUUACCCUGCUGGUACCCGAGGCCCGUGAUGGUUGGCACUAUGGAGAGAAUGAGAAGACAAGGAUGCGUGGCUGGUUUCCCUUCUCCUACACACGGGUGAUCACUGAUGGCGAAGGAGACUCUAUGCGGCAACUUCGAGUACACAAUCUCCACCAUGGUAAAAGCAGCAGCACAGGCAACCUUCUAGAGAGAGAAGACAUGGCUCUCCCCGUCCCUGAUUACGGCAUCCACUCCCGUAUGGCAGCACAGAGCGCUGCUGCGCUGCACGGCAGACAACAACGCCCCUACAGCGUGGCGGUGCCAGGCUUUUCACAGCAGGGAGUCGAAGAGUAUGAGCCCCGCUUCCCUACGAGUUCCACAGAGGGCAAAUUGAUUUCGACAGUGUGAGGACAGACAGACAAACAGGCACAGACUCAGCCACACGAUAGGACAUGCACCUCGCUGCCCAUCUGUCAUCCUUAACCCACCCUCUUUCCCGCCUCCCUACCUCCUUUUCACGACAAUAAACUCUCCCCAAGCCGGUCAGUUCGAGGAAGACGCUUGGGUCUCUUUCUUUUCCUCCCUCUGAUCUCCCUCCCUUCGUCCUUCAGUCCUGCCCUGUGCUGUCUAACUGGCCAGUAGCCACACUGGGCCACUGGUGGAGCUUUGGUGCAGAGCCAAGCCAAAACCAGAACAAAGUGGACUCUGUGCCAUCUGCAUAUUCAAAAUCAGUGUGAUGGACAUUUUCUGUGAGGAAAAUGUAACCUUUGCUUGUCUUUCAUGCAUGUACAUUUCUUUUAUAUAUUGCUGGGAAUUAUAUUUUCCCAAUGAAGGAACCUGAUUUUCACUAAUGUCAGUGCUCUCAGAUAGAAUGACAGUGUAAAGAAUGAUAUGUAAAUCAGGGUGUAAUCUUAAAGUGGUUGAUCCCAAAGAGGAUUUUUAUAUUAUGUAAAAAUGACAUUGCAAUCAAUGCUUUUACUGGAUCUUUCAGUAUUUAACAAUAAUUUUACCUUUUCAUGCUGUGAGGUUUUGUAUUCCUCUGACAUAAGAGGCCAUGUAUCGCGAGUAGUGAACAGCUCAUGUAAAUGUUUUCACACAUGAAACGUGGGGGAAAAAAAAGUGUGAUGGGAAUGUUUACUGUACAUAAAUGUGCCAUACAGAAGUGCUUGUCAUGCAGUAUCUAUGAUCAGUUUAUAAAAAAAUGCACCUUAUGGAAAUAAUAGUCUAUAUUUCUGACUGUGUGUAAACAAACUUACUGUAACGUUUUCAGUGUGAGCCUUUGCGCUUGGAUGGACACACAAACACACCACUCUUGGGUCCUUUGACUGUCUGUUGUGGUGCCUGAAUAUUGUGCCAAGGCUGAAUGGGGUCAACUAACUCUCGUCCCCGAGAGAUUACGCGAGGCUCUGAGUCGGGUUUAGUGCUGAAACUGUUUGUUCGUUAGUCAGUUAACUGAUGUGUUGUGCCGAUUAAAUGUUUGAAAUAACUUAUCAGGCUCAAAUGCCAAAUAUUUGUUGGCUUUGGGUUCUCAAAUACAGACAUUUGCUGCUUUUCUCUGUUUUUUAUAUGACUGAAAAUUAAAUAUAUUUGGUUUUUGAGCUCAAUAGAAAGAUAUCACUUUGACAUCACCAGUUAAAAAAAGUUGGAGGCAAACUCUGGUUCAUGCAUGAAAGAAAAGACAACUGGUAUUGCGGCGCUGCUCGGUACACGUGAUACUGAAACCGUUUUUAAUUUAUUUUUAUCAUAAAUAAAAGAAACAGGAAUACAGUUCAUUUAAAAGAUUCAAAGUCUUUUCUACUUUCAAAAAUAUUCACAUGUGGUGCUUCUGCUGUCGAUUAACUUCUGUGAUUAAUGUCGUUUUAUGGGAACUUAAGACUUCACAUGAAGCUUCAGCUGUAUUGUGAUUAUUAGAAAAAAAACCUACACUGGCUACAGAGUGGUGUUUAUACUGUGCUGCAUUUAUCCAAUGUACAGACUAAAGGCACAGCCGCUCUGCAGCUUUGAAGGGGAGAGGAGUUAAUUUGUGGUUGAAGCCUCAUUCAGCCUUCUUGUACUGCUGUCUCUGCGACUAAAAGCCUGAUUUGUUUAUUUUCUCCAAACCUCAGUGAGUAAAGAAUGUCGUGUUUUAACAACGGCAAGAGAAGUGUUUGUCUGAUUCUUUGUGUGCUCAAUAAAAAUACCGGUGUGCUUGUCUGUAUGUCGGCCCAGUUAGUGCCUGUCUGUACUAACCACUGUCCCUUUGUUGACAUCUGGUGUCCACGAGCUUGCCCGCUGGGAAGUGAGGUUUUUUUAACUCGUAGGUUCGGCAUCUGACUCGUACGAGGCUUUUACUGAAAUCUCGUCUGAGUGCUUUCUUCACCAAAGAGAGGAGGUUAAAAAUGAAACUGUGCAUCUCUCCCAUUCCUCCUACACUGCAAAAAAUGCUUGUCUUUUACUAAAUUGUUAAUGAGGGAAAUUGUUUGAAGAGUCUUGCAAUAUAUUUUUCUGCAAGUAUGUGCAAAAGUAAUGCACAUGCAUUAAAAAAACAACAACUUUCAAGUGCUGCUUUUCUGAUCUGCCACUUAUAGACAGAAAAAUAUUUUCAGACUCUACCUGAGACCUAACACGGACCUUUUUUUGCACUGUAGAAAUGUUCUCCUUGCUGCAUAAGUCUGCUGUCUCUGUGCUUUCUUCUCCUUCUCCUCUCCGUUUGUCUGUCACCUAACGCUCGUCUUCCCCCUUAGCUUUGCCAACCCCCCCGUCUUUUUUCAUCUCUGUUUUGAUGAAUUUAGAGACAAAAGUCGAGUGCAAACGACUGGAAGCUGCCAGUGUUUCUUCUUUCUCCACUAAAAUAGUCCAAGGUAUGGCUGACAUCGCUGCAGAGAUAGCACACCAAUCACCUGUGGCUAAUAACGCCAGCAUUCACUGAUGUGCUCUGAUUGUGAGGGGUUUUGUUGUAAAAGAGUUACAAGAAAAAGCAUCUAAAUAUUGUAUAGAGAAUUUAUGGAUAUGCAUGCUUUGGGGGCACCAAAAAGUGUAACACUGAUGACCUCAAAUGUAUGGUGAAUUUCUACUCUUACAAAGUAUUAAAUAAAUUUAUUCAGCUGGAUAUUUUUAUUGUUUCUGUUCGUUUUUUCCCUGAAGGCUUUGGUGUACAUGAUGAAACUUUUAGAAUACACCAUUUGAAGAAGUUUUUAAUUAGCCUUCAAGUGACAAAUUAGCUCGUAAAACCAAUGAACUUUCAUUGACAGGCAGCAUUUCAACUCUCGAUUCUGGCUUUAAGUUUGUGGCUGAAUAAACUUUAGUCACCACAUCUUUUCUCACAGCUAACAAACUGGGGAUCGUCCUCAUGCUUUAACACAUUAACAAGCGGCUCUUCUUGCACAUUUGACAUCACCACUCAUGUCAACAUUUCUGGAACCGAGACCCAUCAUAACCUCCCACCGGGCUUGUUGCAUGUACAGUGUGUGUGUGUUCUGUGCACAGUAGUACUUACACUGCAUCCUGACCUGCCAUACACCCACUGGCCUGCUCUUCCUGCUGCUAGCAAAGGUACUUUUUUCAACUCAACUGUGUGUGAGUGUGUGUAUGUUUGUGUAUUGUGCUCAACACAGUGUGUUCAUUUUUAGUGUUUUUUAAUUUUUGUAGUUGUUUUGCUUCACUGUGUUGUGGGUUCACACGCCUGUUUGCCUGUUUUUAUUUAAUCUUUAUUUUUCCCCCAUAUGACACACGUGAAUAUGUAUUGGUCAUAAUUUAAAUGUAAACAGUCUCAGUGAAUUUGUGGAGUUCUGAUCUGUUUUUUUGGUCAUAUUUUCAAUUUAAUCUAAGUAAAUGAUGUAAAUAAUUUUGGCUAAUUUAGUAAUAUUAAACACGAUCUUUACUGAGUUUGACUGGCAGCCUCAGCAGAUGCUGUGUUUAAUGUGGUGCUGAUGUUGGUGAAAAAAUCCUUCUUAACCUUUGGCUCAGUAAAAGUACAGCAGUGAGAUCAUAAUGGAAAACUGUAUGCACUGAAUAUAAAGUGCUUUUCAGAGCAGUCAUUUAAAAGUCUCACAGUGUUAUCACUGCAUAUAUCUGGCACUGUAUUACAGAUAAUAGUGUGGAAAAAAUCAAACAAAAGGAGCAAUAGUACCUUCUAAAUACAGGCUCCAGUCAUCUCAGUCUUGGUCUGUUUUCCCUUUUAAUACCUUUAAUGAUACCUUGUAUUAACAGGAAAUCAAAUAUAUACACCAUAUAAUGUGCAGCCAUGUUAGGAGGAAGUUGUGUGUAGUAAUUUAUUUCCCUGUCUCAUGUUGGAAGAUGUGAGUUGGUAUUUGAUCCUGACUGUUGACACAUGGGGACUGUUUCUGCCUUUCAGUACAGGGCCUGAUUACGCCCGCUUUUGAGUGACCAAAGCCCAUCCGAUGAUCCACCAUGCGAGCCGGCCGUGGAGGCACCUGCCAAACCGCCCCUCUCCGACGAUGAGGAUGAAAUUGAGGAGGACCACUUUGAUGAAGCUCACUAUGA